CCUACGGGAGGCAGCAGUGAGGAAUAUUGGUCAAUGGACGAGAGUCUGAACCAGCCAAGUAGCGUGAAGGAUGACUGCCCUAUGGGUUGUAAACUUCUUUUAUAUGGGAAUAAAAUGUUCCACGUGUGGGAUUUUGUAUGUACCAUAUGAAUAAGGAUCGGCUAACUCCGUGCCAGCAGCCGCGGUACUACGGAGGAUCAGAGCGUUAUCUGGAUUUAUUGGGUUUAAAGGGAGCGUAGGUGGAUUGUUAAGUCAGUUGUGAAAGUUUGCGGCUCAACCGUAAAAUUGCAGUUGAAACUGGCAGUCUGGAGUACAGUAGAGGUGGGCGGAAUUCGGGGUGUAGCGGUGAAAUGCUUAGAUAUCACGAAGAACUCCGAUUGCGAAGGCAGCUCACUGGACUGCAACUGACACUGAGGCUCGAAAGUGUGGGUAUCAAACAGGAUUAGAGACCCGUGUAGUC
rnacentral:rRNA from 1 species